rnacentral:lncRNA from 1 species
GGCCGGGGGGCGAGCCCCGCACCCGUUUUCCGGGCAGCCCGCCUCCCCGCCUCUCACCCUCAGCUACACGCUGCGGCCCCGACCCCGUCCUGGCUCCUGGCUCCCGGGUCCAGAAGACACAAAAAGACGCCUAUAGUGGAACUUGCUUCUUCACCCAAGCUUCCAUGGAACAAUGACAAUAAACCUUCCUCACCACCAUUUUCCAGCAGUGUUUGCAGCUGUCUGCACGACUCAAGAUAUUCCAGAAGAAGAAGCAAUUUUGGUGCUAUGCACAGGGCAGAGAACUUCGCUAGAUACAAUACCAUUCAUCCCUCUCAAAUGCUGUAACAGGAGAAACAUCCUUUAUGUGGUAAAGGGUGCUGGAUACUAUACCAAGCCCAAUCUCUUUUCUGCCCUGCCUCUCCGCUGGAUGAAAAUUGAGCGGUGUUAAAGAAUGCCAACUGGAGAUGGUAGAUGGGAAUUGCACUGAUCCCUUUUCAUAUCAGUGUGCACCUGGAGUUUCAGGAUCCAUGCCAGAAAGUCUAGAGACUGAGAUCCAGAGCUG